rnacentral:rRNA from 1 species
GACGAACGCUGGCGGCGUGCUUAACACAUGCAAGUCGAACGAAGAGCGAUGGAAGCUUGCUUCUAUCAAUCUUAGUGGCGAACGGGUGAGUAACGCGUAAUCAACCUGCCCUUCAGAGGGGGACAACAGUUGGAAACGACUGCUAAUACCGCAUACGAUCUAAUCUCGGCAUCGAGGAUAGAUGAAAGGUGGCCUCUAUUUAUAAGCUAUCACUGAAGGAGGGGAUUGCGUCUGAUUAGCUAGUUGGAGGGGUAACGGCCCACCAAGGCGAUGAUCAGUAGCCGGUCUGAGAGGAUGAACGGCCACAUUGGGACUGAGACACGGCCCAGACUCCUACGGGAGGCAGCAGUGGGGAAUCUUCCGCAAUGGACGAAAGUCUGACGGAGCAACGCCGCGUGAGUGAUGACGGCCUUCGGGUUGUAAAGCUCUGUUAAUCGGGACGAAAGGCCUUCUUGCGAAUAGUUAGAAGGAUGACGG